AGAGCUUCUCAUGCAGCCUGCACCAGCGCCGGGUCGGAGAGUCAGAGGCCACCCUGAGAUGGACCGAGAUCUUCAGUUGGGGAGGCGCCUCCGGUGAGCUUGCGGCCAGAUGCCCCCUCAGUAGUCCUCCGCAACAGGUGCCGCGCAGCCGAGUGGCGGGCUAGCAUACCGCCUGCCCGCAAUUCGGCCAGGCCUCGAGCCUGCUCCGCCUUCCCGCUGCGGUAGCGCCGCCGGGGAAACGCCGCCACGGGCUGCAUGGGCAGCGCUCGCGCCCCGCCGCUGAGCCGCCGGGGAGCCGUCCAGUCUUCGAAUCCCAGAAACACAAAGAUGGUGCAGACCCAGGCCCUGCUUUGACUGGGAGAAAGAUGCAUUCAGUUGACUAAAACUUGAACAGGGCAGUUUACUUCUAUAGAAGGGUGCACCCUCACAGAUGGACCAAUGUGUCAGGAGAAUUCAGUCACACCCAAAGCAGGAGGUAAUAAGACACCGAAGUGAGGACUUCACAGGCUGCUUGGGAGAAGACAAUCAUCCGUGGGCUUGGGAAAGGGAGAAAUGCCUACUGAGUUUAGGGAAUUGCUUGCUGGAAGAAAUGAUG
rnacentral:lncRNA from 1 species